CGCGUAGGCGGCUUGGUCAGUCGGAUGUGAAAGCCCCGGGCUUAACCUGGGAAUUGCAUUCGAUACUGCCAGACUAGAGUGUAGUAGAGGGAAGCGGAAUUCCAGGUGUAGCGGUGAAAUGCGUAGAUGUCUGGAGGAACAUCAGUGGCGAAGGCGGCUUCCUGGACUAACACUGACGCUGAGGUGCGAAAGCGUGGGGAGCAAACA
rnacentral:rRNA from 1 species